rnacentral:rRNA from 1 species
UACGUAGGGGGCGAGCGUUGUCCGGAGUUACUGGGCGUAAAGCGUGCGCAGGCGGUUCUGCAAGCCGGAUGUGAAAUCCCCGGGCUCAACCUGGGAAUGGCAUUCGGGACUGCAAGGCUGGAGUGCGGCAGAGGAGAGUGGAAUUCCCAGUGUAGAGGUGAAAUUCGUAGAUAUUGGGAAGAACACCAGUGGCGAAGGCGGCUCUCUGGACCGUAACUGACGCUGAGGCGCGAAAGCGUGGGGAGCAAACAGG